rnacentral:rRNA from 2 species
CUCGACCUCAGAUCAGGUAGGAUUACCCGCUGAACUUAAGCAUAUCAAUAAGCGGAGGAAAAGAAACCAACCGGGAUUGCCUUAGUAACGGCGAGUGAAGCGGCAAAAGCUCAAAUUUGAAAUCUGUAGCGUUCCAGCUGCCGAGUUGUAAUUUGAAGAAUCGUCACUUGUAUUGAGUACACUUGUUUAUGUUUCUUGGAACAGAACGUCAUAGAGGGUGAGAAUCCCGUGUGAUGGGUGUACUUUGUGCUUGUAGUGGUGGUUCGACGAGUCGAGUUGUUUGGGAAUGCAGCUCUAAGUGGGUGGUAAACUCCAUCUAAAGCUAAAUAUUGGCGAGAGACCGAUAGCGAACAAGUACAGUGAUGGAAAGAUGAAAAGCACUUUGAAAAGAGAGUGAAAAAGCACGUGAAAUUGUUGAAAGGGAAGGGCAUGCGAUUAGACGUGGGUGGAGGUGUUGUGUGCUACUUGUGAGUGCAUUUAUCACCUCUGCCCAGGCCAACAUCGAUUAUGAUAGUGUGAGAAUGGUUUGGAAAUGUAGCA